rnacentral:rRNA from 1 species
UACGUAGGGUGCAAGCGUUAAUCGGAAUUACUGGGCGUAAAGCGUGCGCAGGCGGUUAUGUAAGACAGAUGUGAAAUCCCCCGCUUAACCUGGGAACUGCGUCUGAUACUGGAAGGCUUGAGGAUGGGAGAGGGAUGUAGAAUUCCAGGUGUAGCGGUGAAAUGCGUAGAUAUCUGGAGGAACACCGGUGGCGAAGGCGGCAUCCUGGACCGAAACUGACACU